rnacentral:lncRNA from 1 species
UCUCAUUGUUGAAAAAAAUAUGGUUUUCCUUGAUUAGGGUCAUAGAUCUCGAGUCCUACUACUGACCAUUCUUCUUCAAAAACAAUGAUUAAACUCUGCCUGAUUUUAUAAUAAAUAGCUGGUUUGUUGUCGUAUCUUCUUGGAAGAGAGAGAUGAUGGCGACAUUGUCUAAUUGUAUCUAGAUAGGGAAAUGGAUAUACAAAAGACUACGCUUUAGGCUUUGUUAACUAUCCUAAAUAUCAUGCCACUAAAUAAGCUUUGUCAACUCCUUCAAAAGGAUGUUAACAGUUGUGUGACUAGAAUGUGGUUCGAGAGGAUCAGUAUCGUCAUUCUGACGAGUGACUUGAUAUGUCCUUCAGAAGGGAAAGCUGUUUAGUGUUGAUUUCCAGAAUAAGUUAAUAUAAGGAGGUUCACCACGAUGAAGUUCAAGAGGAUUUAACAAACUUCACUAUGAAUUUAUGAAUUCUGGCACAAGUCAAUUCGAUUAACUGAGUUUCAGAAUGUCAUGACUGUCAAUUUCCAGCGUACUUUUCUUUGUAUAACUUACAGUAGGGCGGCUAAUCAAAUAAGUUAUCUGAAGUUUCUCAUAGAGUGAUUUGCUAGCAUUUCUAAUUGAUUAAUCUUUCUAUAAUUUGUGAGUUAGAGUAGGAGCUUUGCUUCAGCACUUUGAUUCUGGUUUAUUAUUCUCCAUAAUUGCGAAAUGAUCUCCUUGAACAUACUUUUUGAUUCUGAGAAUCUAAUUGAUGCUGUGCAAUUGCUGUUUAUCAACUUAUCGCCUUCAUCUCCGUGUAUGAACGAAGUUAGUUUAAUUCUCUUCUGGUUACUUGAAUCUCUAUCUAUAUAGCAGUUGGAUCUGAUUCUCGACUAAUUUCAUUUUAUUUUCCGGUUUGAUGUCCAGUCCCAAGC